rnacentral:rRNA from 1 species
ACGAACGCUGGCGGCGUGCUUAACACAUGCAAGUCGAACGGUGAAGCCUUCGGGUGGAUCAGUGGCGAACGGGUGAGUAACACGUGGGCAAUCUGCCCUGCACUCUGGGACAAGCCCUGGAAACGGGGUCUAAUACCGGAUAUGACCUUCCUUCGCAUGGGGGUGGGUGUAAAGCUCCGGCGGUGCAGGAUGAGCCCGCGGCCUAUCAGCUUGUUGGUGGGGUGAUGGCCUACCAAGGCGACGACGGGUAGCCG